UACGGAGGGUGCAAGCGUUAUCCGGAUUUAUUGGGUUUAAAGGGAGCGUAGGCGGGAUAGUAAGUCAGUGGUGAAAUCUUCCGGCUCAACCGGGAAACUGCCAUUGAUACUGCUAACCUAGAGUACAUUUGAAGUGGGCGGAAUGUGUCAUGUAGCGGUGAAAUGCUUAGAUAUGACACAGAACACCAAUUGCGUAGGCAGCUCACUAAACUGUAACUGACGCUGAGGCUCGAAAGCGUGGGGAUCAAACAGG
rnacentral:rRNA from 2 species